AUAAUAUUUAUUUAUUAAUAUUUAUUUUUUUUUAUUUAUUUAAUAAAAAUAAUUUUAUAGUUAAAAGUUUUGUAGAUUAUAUUGAAAAAAUAAUUUUUAUUAUAGUUUAAUAGUAUUGUAAAAGAUUAUUGAAAAAAUUUGAAAAAUUUUUAUAUUAAAAGAAUAUUUAAUUUAUAGUACCUUGUGUAUCAGGGUUUAUCAACUAAAAAUUUUAUAUUUAAAAUUUUCUCGAUUUUAAGAGAUUUAAUAAAUUAUUUUAGUUAAUGUGGCAUAAUUAUUAAAAAUAAUUUAUUAGAAAUGAAACGUUAUUCGUUCUUAAAUAUAUCUAGUUUUUUAAGAAAUAAAUUUAAUUUAUAUAUUUUUUAGUAACAAUUUAUUUAUUUAAAUUGUUAUUUAAUUAAUAUAAAUAUUUUAAGGGAUAAGCUUUAAAAUAAAUUUUUAUAUAAUAUAAAUUUUUGUAUAAAUUAUAGGCUUAGAAAUAGUCAUUAAUAAAAAUAAUGUUAUAAUUUAUUUAUAAUUUAAAAAAUUUAUUUAAUUAUUAAUUAUUUAUUAAAAUUUUUAUUUUAAUUAUUAUUAUAAAGUAAUAAUGAUAAAAUUAGUAUAUAAUUUAUUUAUAUAAAUAAAUAUAAAUGAAAGGUUUAAUUAAGGAAUUCGGCAAAAAUUUAUACUCGCCUGUUUAACAAAAACAUGUCUUUUUGAAUUUAAAUAAAAAGUCUGACCUGCCCACUGAUAAAAUUGAAGGGCCGCGGUAUUUUGACCGUGCAAAGGUAGCAUAAUCAUUAGUCUUUUAAUUGGAGGCUUGUAUGAAUGGUUGGACGAGGUAUACACUGUCUUAAAUAAAUAUAUAAUAGAAUUUUACUUUUUAGUUAAAAGGCUAAAAUAAAAUUGAAGGACGAGAAGACCCUAUAAAGCUUUAUAACAUUUUUAUAUAAUUUAUUUAGAAAAAGUAAAAUUUGAUAAUUUUAUGUUAUUUUGUUGGGGUGACAAUAAGAUUUAAUAAACUCUUAUAUAUUAUGAACAUUGAUUUAUGAAUAAUUGAUCCAGUUUUAUUGAUUAAAAAUUUAAGUUACUUUAGGGAUAACAGCGUAAUUUUCUUUGAGAGUUCUUAUCGACAAGAAAGAUUGCGACCUCGAUGUUGGAUUAAGAAUUAUUUUUAGGUGUAGAAGCUUAAACGUUAGGUCUGUUCGACCUUUAAAUUCUUACAUGAUCUGAGUUCAGACCGGCGUGAGCCAGGUUGGUUUCUAUCUUCAAUAAAUUAAAAUAUUUUAGUACGAAAGGACCAAAUAUUUAAAAUAUAAAUUUUUUAAAAAUUGAAUAUCAUUAAUUUUUU
rnacentral:rRNA from 1 species